rnacentral:rRNA from 1 species
UACGUAGGGGGCAAGCGUUGUCCGGAAUCAUUGGGCGUAAAGAGCGUGUAGGCGGCCCGGUAAGUCCGCUGUAAAAGUCCAGGGCUCAACCCUGGGAUGCCGGUGGAUACUGUCGGGCUCGAGUCCGGAAGAGGAGUGUGGAAUUCCUGGUGUAGCGGUGAAAAUGCGCAGAUAUCAGGAGGAACACCAAUGGCGAAGGCAGCACUCUGGGACGUGACUGACGCUGAGACGCGAAAGCGUGGGAGCAAACAG